GGCCCGGCGGCGGGUGGUCCGCACCCGCACCAAGUGCCUUUGCCUGUGCGAAAGAUUGUUGCAGGAGUCGCUCGUUCGAAUCGAGCCCGGGCCA